rnacentral:rRNA from 1 species
AACGAACGCUGGCGGCAGGCCUAACACAUGCAAGUCGAACGCUGUAGCAAUACAGAGUGGCAGACGGGUGAGUAACGCGUGGGAACAUGCCCUUCGGUUCGGAAUAACUCAGGGAAACUUGAGCUAAUACCGGAUACGCCCUUAGGGGGAAAGAUUUAUUGCCGAAGGAUUGGCCCGCGUCCGAUUAGCUAGUUGGUGAGGUAAUGGCUCACCAAGGCGACGAUCGGUAGCUGGUCUGAGAGGAUGAUCAGCCCCACUGGGACUGAGACACGGCCCAGACUCCUACGGGAGGCAGCAGUGGGGAAUAUUGGACAAUGGGCGCAAGCCUGAUCCAGCCAUGCCGCGUGAGUGAUGAAGGCCCUAGGGUUGUAAAGCUCUUUCGCCAGGGACGAUAAUGACGGUACCUGGAUAAGAAGCCCCGGCUAACUUCGUGCCAGCCGCCGCAGUAAUAC